rnacentral:rRNA from 1 species
GACGAACGCUGGCGGCGUGCUUAACACAUGCAAGUCGAACGGAAAGGCCCUGCUUUUGUGGGGUGCUCGAGUGGCGAACGGGUGUGUAACACGUGAGUAACCUGCCCUUGACUUUGGGAUAACUUCAGGAAACUGGGGCUAAUACCGGAUAGGAGCUCCUGCUGCAUGGUGGGGGUUGGAAAGUUUCGGCGGUUGGGGAUGGACUCGCGGCUUAUCAGCUUGUUGGUGGGGUAGUGGCUUACCAAGGCUUUGACGGGUAGCCGGCCUGAGAGGGUGACCGGCCACAUUGGGACUGAGAUACGGCCCAGACUCCUACGGGAGGCAGCAGUGGGGAAUAUUGCACAAUGGGCGGAAGCCUGAUGCGGCAACGCCGCGUGCGGGAUGACGGCCUUCGGGUUGUAAACCGCUUUCGCCUGUGGCGAAGCGUGAGUGACGGUAAUGGGUAAAGAAGCACCGGCUAACUACGUG